CGGGUGAGUAAUGUAUGGGGAUCUGCCUGAUGGCGGGGGAUAACUACUGGAAACGGUAGCUAAUACCGCAUAAUGUCUGCGGACCAAAGCGGGGGACCUCCGGGCCUCUUGCCAUCGGAUGUGCCCAGAUGGGAUUAGCUAGUAGGUGGGGUAACGGCUCACCUAGGUGACGAUCCCUAGCUGGUCUGAGAGGAUGACCAGCCACACUGGAACUGAGACACGGUCCAG
rnacentral:rRNA from 1 species